UUGACCAAGAAGGAAAGUGCCUAGAGUAAUGGAUGCUGUAGUUGGCUGUGGAAGGCAUCUGUGGGCCGGUGAGGGAGUGAGUAUGCAAGUGUGUGAGCACCUGUGCCCCUCAACCCUUUUUCUUAUUUGAUAGAGACUUGUCUGAUGUAUAUCUCAGCCUGGCAGCCAGAAAUAAAAAGUUCCAAAGGCCCCUUCCUAGGGAGCUAUGCAGAAAGGACCUCUGGCCAAAGGCAGUGUCAUGAGUUUCCAAGGUACUAGUUCCUCAACCUCCUUCCUCUCUCCACCCCACACCCAGUGCUCAAGAGUGAGGAGCUGAUGAGAUAGGAGAAACUGGGUGUGUCCUGGCCACUGAUUAUGGAUGUGAUUCUGAUCUGA